rnacentral:rRNA from 1 species
AUUGAACGCUGGCGGCAUGCCUUACACAUGCAAGUCGAACGGCAGCACGGGUGCUUGCACCUGGCUGCGAGUGGCGAACGGGUGAGUAAUACAUCGGAACAUGUCCUGUAGUGGGGGAUAGCCCGGCGAAAGCCGGAUUAAUACCGCAUACGAUCUACGGAUGAAAGCGGGGGUCCGUCGGGCCUCGCGCUAUAGGGUUGGCCGAUGGCUGAUUAGCUAGUUGGUGGGGUAAAGGCCUACCAAGGCGACGAUCAGUAGCUGGUCUGAGAGGACGACCAGCCACACUGGGACUGAGACACGGCCCAGACUCCUACGGGAGGCAGCAGUGGGGAAUUUUGGACAAUGGGCGAAAGCCUGAUCCAGCAAUGCCGCGUGUGUGAAGAAGGCCUUCGGGUUGUAAAGCACUUUUGUCCGGAAAGAAAUCCUUGGCCCUAAUACGGUCGGGGGAUGACGGUACCGGAAGAAUAAGCACCGGCUAACUACGUG